rnacentral:rRNA from 1 species
UACGUAGGAGACGAGCGUUGUCCGGAGUUACUGGGCGUAAAGGGUGCGCAGGCGGCCUGGCGCGUCGCGAGUGAAAUCUCCUGGCUCAACUGGGAGGGUGGUCGCGAGACGGCUGGGCUUGAGGCUCGGUGAGGGGCGUGGAAUUCCGGGUGGAGCGGUGAAAUGCGUAGAGAUCCGGAAGAACACCAGAGGCGAAGGCAGUGUCCUGGCUGGUACCUGACGCUCGGGGGCGAAAGCGAGGGGAGCGAACGGG